rnacentral:rRNA from 1 species
AUACGGAGGAUGCGAGCGUUGUCCGGAAUUACUGGGCGUAAAGGAUGCGUAGGUGGAUAUUUAAGUGGGAUGUGAAAUCCCCGGGCUCAACCCGGGAACUGCAUUCCAAACUGGGUAUCUAGAGUGCAGGAGAGGAAAGCGGAAUUCCUAGUGUAGCGGUGAAAUGCGUAGAUAUUAGGAGGAACACCAGUGGCGAAGGCGGUUGUCUGGACUGUAACGGACACUGAGGCAUGAAAGCGUGGGUAGCAAACAGGAUUAGAUACCCUGGUAGUCCACGCCGUAAACGAUGGGUACUAGGUGUAGGAGGUAUCGACCCCUUCUGUGCCGUCGUUAACACAAUAAGUACCCCGCCUGGGGAGUACGGUCGCAAGACUAAAACUCAAAUGAAUUGACGGGG